UACUGUAAUAUUAUUACUUUUGUAAUGGGUUGCCCACUGAAGCUAAGCAGGGCUGAGCCUGGUCAGUACCUGGAUGGGAGGCCUCCUGGGAAAACUAGGUUGCUGCUGGAA
rnacentral:rRNA from 1 species